UACGUGGCAACCUAACAUACCAGUGAGGU
rnacentral:piRNA from 1 species